GUCUGACUGGUAGGUUGGUGCAAGAGCUCUGUGAAGCCAGUGGAACCUGCUCAGACACUCGGCUCAUUUGAAAACCAGGAUUUUAUGGGGCUGCUGAGCAAGGAGAAUGUCUGUGCAAUGCUACGUGGGGCUAUGCAGGUUCCCAAGCCAGAGACAGCUAAUAAAUGAGCAAAGGGGGAAACCAAGCCUUGAAUGGAGAAGCCCUAUCAGGAUGAGUGGUCACUCCAUGGGAUGGGUACAUCAGGUCUGCACCUCUUUCAUCCAUCUUUCUGGAGGCAGCCCUGGACUAGGAGAUGGAUCUCUUCCCUGGGUGGCCCAGUUCUCAGAGAAGAGCCACACUGCUGUGGAGAAGAAAAGGAGAGGUACUAACAUCACUGUUGUAAAGAAGAGAUAAAAAUACAAUUGCUUUGGGAUUUUUUAUUUUUCUAACUGUCUGGUUAUUUAAUUAAUCUCCUGUUCACUUUCUGGUUUUUCCAUGUUUUUUUUUUUCCUCUGUGUUUGUUUGAGGGUAUUUUUCCCCUCACAGACUUCCUCAUGCUUCCAAACACCUGUUCCCUUGGGCCUCACCUAGAGGGAAGGGACUUACAUGCUCCUUUGUUUUGUUUAUAGCAGUGUUCAUAGCUGCACUUCACCAAAGCAGGGGCAAAAGCUCUCCCCAAAUCACAGCAACUGCUAAGCCUCCAGAGGAAGCAGCAUUUCUGCUCAUCUUGACACAGCCAAUUUAAUCAGACGUCUCACAGAAAAAUAUUUUUUUUUUCCCU
rnacentral:lncRNA from 1 species